rnacentral:rRNA from 1 species
UACGGGGGGGGGCAAGCGUUGUUCGGAAUUACUGGGCGUAAAGGGCUCGUAGGCGGCCAACUAAGUCGGACGUGAAAUCCCCAGGCUCAACCUGGGAACUGCGUCCGAUACUGGAUGGCUUGAAUCCGGGAGAGGGAUGCAGAAUUCCAGGUGUAGCGGUGAAAUGCGUAGAUAUCUGGAGGAACACCGGUGGCGAAGGCGGGUCUCUGGGCAGUAACUGACGCUGAGGAGCGAAAGCGUGGGGAGCGAACAGG